AGACCCGAAACCCGGUGAUCUAGCCAUGGGCAGGUUGAAGGUUGGGUAACACUAACUGGAGGACCGAACCGACUAAUGUUGAAAAAUUAGCGGAUGACCUGUGGCUGGGGGUGAAAGGCCAAUCAAACCGGGAGAUAGCUGGUUCUCCCCGAAAGCUAUUUAGGUAGCGCCUCGUGAAUUCAUCUCCGGGGGUAGAGCACUGUUUCGGCUAGGGGGCCAUCCCGGCUUACCAACCCGAUGCAAACUGCGAAUACCGGAGAAUGUUAUCACGGGAGACACACGGCGGGUGCUAACGUCCGUCGUGAAGAGGGAAACAACCCAGACCGCCAGCUAAGGUCCCAAAGUCAUGGUUAAGUGGGAAACGAUGUGGGAAGGCCCAGACAGCCAGGAUGUUGGCUUAGAAGCAGCCAUCAUUUAAAGAAAGCGUAAUAGCUCACUGGUCGAGUCGGCCUGCGCGGAAGAUGUAACGGGGCUAAACCAUGCACCGAAGCUGCGGCAGCGACGCUGA
rnacentral:rRNA from 2 species